GUUUCGUCAAAUUUGAUAACAAUAUACUUUAAUUGAGGUAAAAAUGAUAAUACUCAAAAUAAUUCUAGAAAAAGACGUUGAAACGUUCACCCUGGGCACCACGUACCUCGGAGACGGUUGCCGUAUCGAUAUUCGUAUUCAGUGACCC